CCCAAGAUGGCUGCCUCCUGCGUUUGUGCAGAGAAGUGGCCUUAGAAUCCAAUAGAUAUCUUUUUUCCUAGCUGCCAUCUAUGGGAUUUUUCAGUUUGGAAAAGUUUGGAGCUGUGUUUGGAACAGUUUGGAGCUAUUAUUUCUGUGUUUGACCGGUUCCCAAAUGGCAGAAACACCAACUGUCUUAAAGUACACCAUGGGAUUCAUGAAGAAACUCAGACAAGCUACUACCCCACUAACUCCUCGGCUGAGAAAGACCUUAACAAAAGAGGGAGUGCUACGUGUACCAAACAGAAAAAGAGGCUGUAGAGGAGGUAAGACUAUUGUGCACAACAUUCGGACUGUUGUUGGCAGGAGACCUGACCAGAACAAGCCUCAAAUGUUUGGAUAUGGGAACCCUAGAGUUAAAUUACAAUCAAACUUAAUCAAAGUCAUCAUCCAGAAUAAUAGGCCAACAAACCAUGCCAUGUUACCAACUUUUCUGAUGACGAACCCCAGAUCUCUUGUCUAUAAGAUUGGUGAGCUGCAGUCUGUUCUGAUACAAAACCAUGUGGAUGUGGCUGCAAUUUCAGAAACCUGGUUUAGUUCCCAUAAACCUGAAGAAUUAUUGGGUAUUGAUGGCUACACCUUGUUUUCUAAAUGCCGCAGCACUCGCCGUGGUGGUGGUAUUGCAUUGUACAUCAGAGACUGUGUUCCAUGUUACCCCCUAACCUGCAUUAAAGUUCCACAACAUCUAGAAUGUCUUUGGGUGAAGGUGAGACCCCCCAGACUCCCCCGGAACAUAUCUGCUAUUGCUGUGUGUGUGGUGUAUUCACCACCUAAAUCGCCACAUGAAGAUGAACUCAUUGAUCAUCUAAUAGCCUCAGCGGAUUUGCUCUGUACUAAAUACCCAGACAUUGGACUUGUAAUUCUUGGAGAUCUUAACCACCUUGACAUCCGUGACAUUUGCCUGGAUAAUAAACUUUGCCAAGUGGUUGAGAAUAAUACCAGAGGUGAAGCCAUCCUCGACAAAAUUAUCACAAACAUGAAACCAAUGUACACUCACCGGCCACUUUAUUAGGUACACCAUGCUAGUAACGGGUUGGACCCCCUUUUGCCUUCAGAACUGCCUCAAUUCUUCGUGGCAUAGAUUCAACAAGGUGCUGGAAGCAUUCCUCAGAGAGCUUGGUCCAUAUUGACAUGAUGGCAUCACACAGUUGCCGCAGAUUUGUCGGCUGCACAUCCAUGAUGCGAAUCUCCCGUUCCACCACAUCCCAAAGAUGCUCUAUUGGAUUGAGAUCUGGUGACUGUGGAGGCCAUUUGAGUACAGUGAACUCAUUAUCAUGUUCAAGAAACCAGUCUGAGAUGAUUCCAGCUUUAUGACAUGGCGCAUUAUCCUGCUGAAAGUAGCCAUCAGAAGUUGGGUACAUUGUGGUCAUAAAGGGAUGGACAUGGUCAGCAACAAUACUCAGGUAGGCUGUGGCGUUGCAACGAUGCUCAAUUGGUACCAAGGGGCCCAAAGAGUGCCAAGAAAAUAUUCCCCACACCAUGACACCACCACCACCAGCCUGAACCGUUGAUACAAGGCAGGAUGGAUCCAUGCUUUCAUGUUGUUGACGCCAAAUUCUGACCCUACCAUCCGAAUGUCGCAGCAGAAAUCGAGACUCAUCAGACCAGGCAAUGUUUUUCCAAUCUUCUAUUGUCCAAUUUCGAUGAGCUUGUGCAAAUUGUAGCCUCAGUUUCCUGUUCUUAGCUGAAAGGAGUGGCACCCGGCGUGGUCUUCUGCUGCUGUAGCCCAUCUGCCUCAAAGUUCGACGUACUGUGCGUUCAGAGAUGCUCUUCUGCCUACCUUGGUUGUAACGGGUGGUUAUUUGAGUCACUGUUGCCUUUCUAUCAGCUCGAACCAGUCUGGCCAUUCUCCUCUGACCCCUGGCAUCAACAAGGCAUUUCCGCCCACAGAACUGCCGCUCACUGGAUAUUUUUUCUUUUUCGGACCAUUCUCUGUAAACCCUAGAGAUGGUUGUGCGUGAAAAUCCCAGUAGAUCAGCAGUUUCUGAAAUACUCAGACCAGCCCUUCUGGCACCAACAACCAUGCCACGUUCAAAGUCACUCAAAUCACCUUUCUUCCCCAUACUGAUGCUCGGUUUGUACUGCAGGAGAUUGUCUUGACCAUGUCUACAUGCCUAAAUGCACUAAGUUGCCGCCAUGUGAUUGGCUGAUUAGAAAUUAAGUGUUAACGAGCAGUUGGACAGGUGUACCUAAUAAAGUGGCCGGUGAGUGUAUUUGAAGCCUGAGAUUCUCCCUGCCCUUGCCUCAAGUGACCACAACUGUGUUCUCUGGAGCCCCAAAGCACAAUC